UACGUAGGGCGCAAGCGUUGUCCGGAAUUAUUGGGCGUAAAGAGCUCGUAGGCGGUCUGUCACGUCUGCCGUGAAAACCCGAGGCUUAACCUCGUGGCUUGCGGUGGAUACGGGCAGACUAGAGGUAGGUAGGGGAGAAUGGAAUUCCCGGUGUAGCGGUGAAAUGCGCAGAUAUCGGGAGGAACACCGGUGGCGAAGGCGGUUCUCUGGGCCUUACCUGACGCUGAGGAGCGAAAGCGUGGGAGCGAACAGGAU
rnacentral:rRNA from 1 species